UGCCUCUGUGGAACGAUCAGGAAGAGCUCCAAGGAGCCACAACCCUAAUUCAACCAAAAUCAUUAAAUUGAAGGGCUAAUUGAAGCUCAAAUUCAUGAUUGAACAUGAAUUAACGAUCACCCAAGCUAGAGGAUCAUAAGUUUGACGCUUGACAAGCUAGGUGGAAGCUUGGGAAGGAAGCGGGUCAAACGAAUCAAGUAUUAAGGAAAUGCAUAAUUUGGAUGCAAGGUAUACCGUGAUGUGCCAGAUGACAAUCAAGUUCAAUGAAGAAACGAACACGAUCAAGAUUCAAGCUUCCGCAUUACGUUUCGUCGUCACAUUUUAAUCGACGAAUAUAUAAAUAUGAUGUUGAAACGUUUUAAAUCUUAA
rnacentral:lncRNA from 1 species